GGACUUUAAGUUACAAAAGCAAAUGGCCGACAUUCAGGCCUUCAAAGCUAGACUGAUGGCUUUCAAUAAGGAAUGCAAUGACAAAGCGAAGAAAGAGACUACCCUAAAAGCGCUGAAGGACAAGUUGGCAGUAUUUGAGUUAGAGCAAAGCAUUGGCCGAGAAGUCAACAAGGUGGACUGUUUGGAAGAGGAAGUACUUACAAGAGAACUGGACGACGAAGUGAUGCGGAUUGCCAAACCUGGAUACGCUCAAGCACAAGACCCUCUGAUCAAAGUAAAUAUUGGCGAUGAAGGAGAAGAUCACCCAACGUUCAUCAGCCAGAUGCUCG
rnacentral:lncRNA from 1 species